UACAGAGGUCCCAAGCGUUGUUCGGAUUCAUUGGGCGUAAAGGGUGUGUAGGUGGCGCCGUAAGUCGGGUGUGAAAUUUCGGAGCUUAACUCCGAAACUGCAUUCGAUACUGCGGUGCUUGAGGACUGGAGAGGAGACUGGAAUUUACGGUGUAGCGGUGAAAUGCGUAGAUAUCGUAAGGAAGACCAGUGGCGAAGGCGGGUCUCGGGACAGGUCCUGACGCUGAGGCACGAAGGUCAGGGGAGCAAACGGG
rnacentral:rRNA from 1 species